rnacentral:rRNA from 1 species
GACGAACGCUGGCGGCGUGCUUAACACAUGCAAGUCGAACGGAAAGGCCCUGCUUUUGUGGGGUGCUCGAGUGGCGAACGGGUGAGUAACACGUGAGUAACCUGCCCUUGACUUUGGGAUAACUUCAGGAAACUGGGGCUAAUACCGGAUAGGAGCUCCUGCUGCAUGGUGGGGGUUGGAAAGUUUCGGCGGUUGGGGAUGGACUCGCGGCUUAUCAGCUUGUUGGUGGGGUAGUGGCUUACCAAGGCUUUGACGGGUAGCCGGCCUGAGAGGGUGACCGGGCACCAUGGGGACGGAGUAACGGCCCGACUUCAUAGGGGGGGCAGCAGGGGGGAAUUUGGCACAGGGGGGGGAGGCCGAUGGAGGAACCCCCGGGGGGGGAAUGCGGGCUUUGGGGUUGUAAACCGUUUUGGCGGGGAAGGAGGGGGGGUGGAGGGAAAGGGGUAAAAAAGCACCGGCUAAUUCGGG